CAUGAGUUUUUAGGGAAGGACAACUCAACCACUCUCUCGGCUAGUGUGAACUUUGUUGAUCUGGCGGGAAGCGAACGUGCAUCUCAAGCAUUAUCAGCUGGUACGAGACUGAAAGAAGGUUGCCACAUAAAUCGCAGUUUGCUUACUCUAGGAACGGUUAUUCGCAAGCUAAGCAAUGGAAGAAAUGGACAUGUUCCUUACAGAGAUUCUAAGCUUACACGUAUACUUCAACCUUCUUUAGGAGGCAAUGAAAGAACAGCAAUUAUAUGUACAAUUAGUCCUGCGAGAAACCAUCUUGAACAGUCAAAAAACACCCUCUUAUUUGCAAGUUGUG